GAACUACUCCCUCCGAUACUAAAUUGUUGUUAAAAUAUUACAUGUAUCUAGACACCUUUUAAGAAUAGAUACAUCCAUAUUUGGGCAAAUUUGAGACAAGAAUUUAGGAUCGGAGGGAGUACUAU
rfam:Brachypodium distachyon strain Bd21 chromosome 1, whole genome shotgun sequence.